rnacentral:rRNA from 1 species
UACAGAGGUCCCAAGCGUUGUUCGGAUUCACUGGGCGUAAAGGGUGCGUAGGUGGCCGGGUAAGUCUGACGUGAAAUCUCCGAGCCUAACUCGGAAACUGCAUCGGAUACUAUCCGGCUUGAGGGUUGGAGGGGGGACUGGAAUACUUGGUGUAGCAGUGAAAUGCGUAGAUAUCAAGUGGAACACCAGUGGCGAAGGCGAGUCCCUGGACAACUCCUGACGCUGAGGCACGAAAGCUAGGGGAGCAAACAGG